ensembl:lincRNA
CACAUUUAAAAGCUCUGUACUUUUGGCACGCGUUUUGCUCUUCAGGCUCUUCUUAAGGACAGAUUGUGCAAAAACAGAAAAAAAAUGCACUCAAUCUGAGCGCACCUGCAGGUCUGAAGAGGGAGGCGGCUUGAACAGAGUCGCCCAGGCACCGUGGUCUCUCUCAUAGCACGAGGUCAUCUCAGGGCCCUUCAUCCCGCGUCCCCAAAGGUGCCUUUAAUCCUUUUGCAUCUUUGGACCAUGGUGUCUCCUACGUUUCCGGAAAACUGGAAAGGGGGGGGAUAGUGAUAACGAAGGGAGUUAAUUAGCAAGCGAAGGGACUAGGGGACCCUGUUGAUGUUGGCAGUGGACCUCCCACUGUUGCUUGCAGGACGCCAGCCCCUACCCCGCUGGGGAUCUGAGCAGCGCCCUCUCCCGCGUCCCGCCCGCUGAAGUUCGCUCCUGGAGAAACCGGCUGGCGCCCUGAGGCGCGCAGAGGAGGAUCUCAGCAGAGCCGCGGGCUCGCGCGCUUCUGGGCAAGUCGGAGCCAGGAUUGCAGCCGCCUCUUGGCGCGGGUCCUCGGAGCUGGCAGAGGCGGAGCGCCGAGCCCGAGCCGCGCGGAAGAGAGCGGGAGGAGGGCGCCAGCGGCGCCCCUGGCCCCGCGGCUGCAGCCAGCGCGCAGUGCGCGCCGCCUCCGGACCUGGGCGCCUCCAGCAUGGAGUGGGAGCUCAACUUGCUGCUCUACCUGGCCCUCUUCUUCUUUUUGCUCUUUCUACUUUUCCUCCUGCUCUUCGUGGUCAUCAAGCAGCUGAAGAACUCCGUGGCCAGCACGGCCGGGACGCUGCAGCCAGGACGCCUCUCUCUGCACCGCGAGCCCUGGGGCUUCAACCACGAGCAGGCGGUGUGAACCUCGAAUCCUCUCCCGCGUCGCCUCCCCGCUUCCAGGUGCGGGGCUCGGCGGCGCUGGAGGUCGGUUCCCGCUGGAGAGCAGCCGCCGAGGGAUGGAUGUGUCAGUCCUCCCUGGAGGCCCCGGGCUCGUGGCGCCCUCGCAUGCAAUGGGCUGCGAGUGUACAGAGUCUGGCCUGGUGUGCAUUUCUCCAGGAAGCCUGGUCCGGGCCGAGAAGAGUUGGAGGAAAGAGGUGUUUUUUCCCAGAUUUACUUCACCGGGAGAGGAGCUGCUGUUGCUGUCAGGAGCCCCAGGGACUACAGUUCUGCAUACUGCCUGGAACCCACUGGAAGGCCGGAAGGAUGGCGAGGAAGCUGUCUGUGUUCAGUCUCACUGAUGUCCAGCAGCUUAACCUGUCCUGAGUUUGCCUAGCAGGAGGCUGUAGAGAACUCUGGGUUCCAAGAUGGUUUCUGUAGCUCCCACAAAAAGAAGGAAGGCACUCAAGGGAAAGCACAUCCUUGCAGUUUGGAUGCAUUUCCUUUUAAAGAGUUUCUCAGCAGCUUAACUUUUGCUUGUAUUUCAUGGGCAGAAACUGUGUUAAUGGAUGCAAGACUGCUUGAGAAAUGUAGUUUUUGAGCUUUCAAUGAAAAUCUGGGUUUUCUUGGUAAUAAGGAUAUUAGUGAGUCUUCAGGGGACAACUAACUAGUGGUCUAUGCCCUGGAUAUAAAAUAUACUCUCACAGAAGCACAAUAUUUGAAACAGAUCAAGACAGUGGCUUCCUCACUGGCAAAACUCCAAGCAACACUGCUCAGCUCUGCAUGAGCAGAGUGAAGACAUGCCAGGUUUUCUCAUGAAACACUUGUCAGCUCUGAUCUCUCUGCCCUGCUUCAGGAUUCGCUACAGCAAGACCAUGAAGAUCUGUACAUUUUCUUGGUGGACGUGAUCUCCUUACAGAGGUCAAAUAUAGAAUAAACAACGUUCUACUUUGCUGCUUCCUCAUAUGUAUCAUUUAUCUUCUCAGUUUUCCUGACAUUUAGAUUUGGGUGGAAUCUAGAGUGUGUAUUUGAUCCCUGUAAAUGACCAUCGCUUGCAUAUGCAAAGAAAGAGGACCUUACUUCCUUCUGUGACUCCACACCAAUCUAGGAAUAUCCUGGGAGAAGAAUUGCCUCUCAAAGCUGCUUCCACAAGCAGCCUACACCCUGGCUAAGCAAAAGGAGAAGAAACACUUCCCACAUCCAGGGCUGUCCAAAAGAACUUUCUGUGAUGAUAGAAAUGUUCUAUAUCUGCAGUGUCCAAUAUGGUAACCAGUAGUAAACACUUAAAAUGUGGCUAGUGUGACUGAGAAAGUAAAAUGCAGAUUUUAUUGAAUUUUAAUUAUUUUCAUUUUAAAUAGCUACAUGAGGCUAGUGGCUAUUGUAAUGGACAGUGCAGUCCACGUCUUUCUUUGUGUGUAUGCGUAUGUGUGUGUGUUAGAACUAAUAGGAGAGAGGCGGGCCAGUCAUGUGCUUACAUCCCAUGCUCUUCAUUGUUUAAUUUGUCACUUGUUUCCCAGAGUAAAGGGGUAGUAGUAUUAUAGAGAACUAAACUCAAGCUGUUAUGUAACAUCUGUACAUUGCAUAUCUUUCUAUAACAAAUGGAAUGGUCUCUUGGGAAUAGAUCUCGUGCCUGAUUGCAGUGACACUUAACUAAUGAAAUACACAGCAGUGCUGGUCCACUAACCUUCCUAGUGACUGUGUUCCUAGUCAGAGUGAUUUAGCUGAAGCUAUUUUGUUUUAAUCGUGCAAUUUGUUCUGUUACUUUAUUUUUAUAAUAUUAUGAUUGCUAAAUGAUUAUUCUGUGGCUGUUUUUCAAAAUAUGUCAGUGGUUUAUAUUUUUGUGAAAUAAAUUA